AUGGCCGCCACCGCCGCCGCUUCCCUUUCCCUCCACCUCCGCCUCCGCCCUCCUCCCUAUGCCCACCGCAGCCCCCUUCGCCAUGCCCCGUUCCUCCUAUCCCCUUCUCCGUCCAUCCCUUGGCCUCCUCACCAUCUUCACGUCGCUAACGGCCGGCUCCCUCCCCCUUGCCGCCCCUCUGUGAAGGCGCAGGCAGGUACCAUCGAGGCUCCGAGCCUCGCGCGCCUUGGGGGCGCCGUAGAGACCGACCGCCUCCCCGCCGACGUGCGCGACCGCGCCAUGGACGCCGUCGACUACUUGGGCGGCCGCGUCACAAUCGGCGACGUCGCCUCCCGCGCCGGCCUGCAGAUUGACCAGGCAGAGCGCGCGCUCCAGGCUCUCGCGGCAGACACCGGGGGCUUCCUGGAGGUUUCGGGGGAAGGGGAGGUGCUGUACGUCUUCCCCGAAGACUACAGGGCGAAGCUAGCUGGCAAGUCAUUCAGAAUGCGGGUUGAGCCACUGGUCGAUAAAGCCAAGGAAGCGGGUGCGUAUCUGGCGCGGGUGUCUUUUGGGACAGCACUAGUUGCUUCCAUUGUGCUUGUAUAUGCUACCAUCAUUGCCAUUCUCUCAAGCUCGAGUGAUGAAGAUAAUCGUGGAAGGCGGCGCAGAUCCUAUGGCUCUACGAUGUUCCUCCCAACAGAUUUAUUUUGGUACUUGGAUGCAGGUUCCUCCAGGAGGAGGCGGGUAGAAAAAGAUAAGGGGAUGAGCUUUAUUGAAUCUGUCUUCUCGUUUGUAUUUGGGAAUGGUGAUCCUAAUGACGGGCUUGAAGAGAGAAGGUGGAAGAUGAUUGGGCAGUAUAUUUCAUCGAAUGGUGGAGUUGUUACGGCAGAAGAACUGGCACCGUAUCUUGAUGUACCGGCACCUGCAGAGCAAACCAACUCCAAGGAUGAUGAAUCAUUUAUUCUUCCAGUUCUUUUACGCUUCCAGGGACAUCCUUUAGUUGACGAUCAGGGAAACAUUCUUUAUCGAUUCCCAUCGCUGCAACGCACUGCUUCCUCGAAAGGAGGUGGGAGUAGGGAAUAUGUUGGUACAAGAUGGUCUACAAUGUCGAGUGGCAUUGAAAAGUUUAUGGAAGAGAAACCAUGGGAAUUCAGUAAAGCAAAUGCAUUAGAGAGGGCAAUGGUUGCUGGUUUGGGAGGACUCAAUCUUUUUGGCGUCAUAAUUCUGGGAAACUUACUGAAGCAAAUGACAAUGACACCUGGUGGGCUUAUCUCAUUUGCUGCGCAGUUAUUUCCCUUGCUUCAGAUAUAUGCUGGCUCCUUUUUUGCAAUACCAUUAUUUAGAUGGUUGCUGCUACGCAAGACCAACAAUGACAUUGCAAGGAGGAACAAGGCUAGAGAAGAGAGAGCCCAGGAACUUUUGUCGCCAGAACCUUCUCUCAGAAGAAAGUUGCUCAGUGCACGCGACAUGGCUCAGCGGAAGGUGAUUACACCAGGGGAGAUUGUCUACACAACCGAAAAGGAUCUAUUGGAUCAGGAAUAUGAAGUUAGGGAGUGGGAAAGGCGAUUUAAGAAACUUGAGUCAGACUGA
rnacentral:rRNA from 1 species